rnacentral:rRNA from 1 species
UACGGGGGGGGCAAGCGUUGUUCGGAAUUACUGGGCGUAAAGGGCUCGUAGGCGGCCAACUAAGUCGGACGUGAAAUCCCUCGGCUUAACCGGGGAACUGCGUCCGAUACUGGAUGGCUUGAGUUCGGGAGAGGGAUGCGGAAUUCCAGGUGUAGCGGUGAAAUGCGUAGAUAUCUGGAGGAACACCGGUGGCGAAGGCGGCAUCCUGGACCAACACUGACACUGAGGAGCGAAAGCCAGGGGAGCAAACGGG